UCGUGCGCGCCACCAUGAUCAAGGCGCUCCUCGCCGAGCGCCGCAUGGGGGCCUCCCUCCUAAGGCUCCACUUCCAUGACUGCUUCGUUCAAGUAAUCAUGAUUUAAUUAACGCUUAGCCGAACAUCUGUCUGUAUUCAGUAUAGCCCGCUGUAGAGCCAACCUUACGUAAAUACGUGCACUUUAAGCAUUGAUUGAUGUGAAAUUUGGUUGAUUACGUACAUAUAUAGGGCUGCGACGCAUCCAUUCUUCUGGACGACGUGGGGAGCUUCGUGGGCGAGAAGACUGCCGGCCCUAACGUGAGAUCGGUACGCGGCUACGAGGUCAUCGACGAGAUCAAGGCGAACGUGGAGCUCCUCUGCCCCGGCGUCGUCUCCUGCGCCGACAUCGUCGCCCUCGCCGCAAGGGACGGCACCCUUCUGGUACGUACAGAUAUGGACAUGGACACGUGCGUGCAUAAAUUAGAUAGAAGCUAGUCAUGCAUACACGCAACUAGCUACCUAGUGUGCAUGUGAGGAUUAAUUAAAUUCAUCACCGG
rnacentral:lncRNA from 1 species